rnacentral:rRNA from 1 species
UACGUAGGAUCCAAGCGUUGUCCGGAUUUACUGGGUGUAAAGGGUGCGCAGGCGGACUUAUAAGUCAGAGGUGAAAUCUCACUGCCUCAACAGUGAAACUGCCUUUGAUACUGUAGGUCUUGAAUUAGGGAGAGAUUCGUGGAAUUCCGAGUGUAGCAGUGAAAUGUGUAGAUAUUCGGAAGAACACCAGUGGCGAAGGCAGCGAAUUGGCCCUAUAUUGACGCUCAGGCACGAAAGCAUGGGGAUCAAACAGG